rfam:Loxodonta africana unplaced genomic scaffold scaffold_26, whole genome shotgun sequence.
UGCCUCAAGUGAUGGAGAAAUGACCUGGGAGGACCAUGACCGAACUGGGAUGUAUUCGUACUGUCUGAUGGGGCC